CCUACGGGGGGCAGCAGUCGAGAAUCAUUCACAAUGGGGGAAACCCUGAUGGUGCGACGCCGCGUGGGGGAAUGAAGGUCUUCGGAUUGUAAACCCCUGUCAUGUGGGAGCAAAUUAAAAAGAUAGUACCACAAGAGGAAGAGACGGCUAACUCUGUGCCAGCAGCCGCGGUAAUACAGAGGUCUCAAGCGUUGUUCGGAAUCACGGGGCGUAAAGCGUGCGUAGGCUGUUGCGUAAGUCGUGUGUGAAAGGCGCGGGCUCAACCCGCGGACGGCACAUGAUACUGCGAGACUAGAGUAAGGGAGGGGGAACCGGAAUUCUCGGUGUAGCAGUGAAAUGCGUAGAUAUCGAGAGGAACACUCGUGGCGAAGGCGGGUUCCUGGACAUUAACUGACGCUGAGGCACGAAGGCCAGGGGAGCGAAAGGGAUUAGAUACCCCAGUAGUC
rnacentral:rRNA from 1 species